rnacentral:rRNA from 1 species
AGUGAACGCUGGCGGCAUGCCUUACACAUGCAAGUCGAACGGUAACGGGUCCUUCGGGAUGCCGACGAGUGGCGAACGGGUGAGUAAUAUAUCGGAACGUGCCCAGUAGUGGGGGAUAACUGCUCGAAAGAGCAGCUAAUAACGCAUACGACCUGAGGGUGAAAGGGGGGGAUAGCAAGACCUCUCGCUAUUGGAGCGGCCGAUAUCAGAUUAGCUAGUUGGUGGGGUAAAGGCCUACCAAGGCAACGAUCUGUAGUUGGUCUGAGAGGACGACCAGCCACACUGGGACUGAGACACGGCCCAGACUCCUACGGGAGGCAGCAGUGGGGAAUUUUGGACAAUGGGCGCAAGCCUGAUCCAGCAAUGCCGCGUGCAGGAAGAAGGCCUUCGGGUUGUAAACUGCUUUUGUCAGGGAAGAAAUCUUCUGGGCUAAUACCCCGGGAGGAUGACGGUACCUGAAGAAUAAGCACCGGCUAACUUCGUGCCAGCCGCCGCAGUAA